rnacentral:ncRNA from 1 species
ACACGUACACACGGGAGCUCCCGCCGCGGGGCUGAGAGUGGGGCACGUCGCGCCCCUGACCGUCAGACCUGAUCCGGGUAAUGCCGGCGAAGGAAGGAUUUCGUGAGCGUGA